rnacentral:tRNA from 1 species
UGGGGUGAGGCUCAGCGGUAAAGUGCUUGCCUCCCAUGUGUGAGACAUUGGGUUCGAUCCUCAGCACCACAU